GACGGAGGAUGCAAGUGUUAUCCGGAAUCACUGGGCGUAAAGCGUCUGUAGGUGGCUCGACAAGUCAACUGUUAAAUCUUGAAGCUCAACUUCAAAAUCGCAGUCGAAACUAUCGGACUAGAGUAUAGUAGAGGUAAAGGGAAUUUCCAGUGGAGCGGUGAAAUGCGUAGAGAUUGGAAAGAACACCGAUGGCGAAGGCACUUUACUGGGCUAUUACUGACACUCAGAGACGAAAGCUAGGGUAGCAAAUGGG
rnacentral:rRNA from 1 species